GUUUGACGCUCCUGGAAUUCUCCCAAACACUUAGGCGAACAGCUCUCUAGGGUAAUUCCCAGAAGUGUUUGGGGGGACUCUGGGAGUCGUUGAAC
rnacentral:pre_miRNA from 1 species